rnacentral:rRNA from 1 species
UACGUAGGGGGCAAGCGUUGUCCGGAAUCAUUGGGCGUAAAGAGCGCGUAGGCGGCCCGAUAAGUCCGCUGUGAAAGUCAAAGGGCUUAACCCUUGAAUGCCGGUGGAAACUGUCGGGCUAGAGUCCGGAAGAGGCGAGUGGAAUUCCUGGUGUAGCGGUGAAAUGACGCAGAUAUCAGGAGGAACCACCUAUGGCGAAGGCAGCUCGCUGGGACGGUACUGACGCUGAGGCGACGAAAGGCGUGGGGAGCAAACAGG